rnacentral:snRNA from 1 species
CUGAUUACAGGGUGAUUUUCCCAGGGCAAGUCUCAUCCAUUGAACUGAAGGUGUAUGGAUUCCUAUGAUUUCCCCAAACGUGGGAAACUUGAACACAUAGCUUGUGGCAGCUGGGGAUAGUAUUUGCACUCCCCGC